rnacentral:lncRNA from 1 species
AACAUGUUUCGGCGUCCUUCCACACUGUCGCGGCUUAUGUUGUUUUGCUGUUUGGGUUUGCACUGUCUUUUUGAGCUGUAACACAGCAAAGGUUUGCAGUUUCGCUCCUGAAAUCAUCGAGACCACAAACCCACCGGGAAGAACGAACAACUCCAGACGCACCGCUUUAAGAGCUGUAAUACUCGUUAGGAAGGUGUGCAGCUUGACUCCUGAGUCAGCGAGACCAUGAACCCAUCAGAAGGAAAAAACUCCGAACAUCAGAAGGAACAAGUUUCAGACACGCCACCUUUAAGAACUGUGAUACUCACCGCGAGGGCCCGCGGCUUCAUUCUUGAAGUCCGUGAGACCAAGAACCUACCAAUUCCGAAUACGUUGGGUUCAAGUGGUUCUCCUGCCUCAGACUCCCGAAUACCUGGGACUACAGGCACCCACCACGCCCGGGAAAUUGGCAACUGAUGAAGGGAAGUGUAUCAGUCCGUUUUCAUGCU